rnacentral:lncRNA from 1 species
AAAGUUUGGGAUUCCCAGUCUACAAAACCCCACAGCUCCUAGGAAUUCUCUCACCACCCUUGUGCCUUUAGGCUUCGGUAGAUUGCAAAUGACCUGCUUUCUUUCGGAUCCCGGGCUGCUUUCGGACACCUGUCGAAUAGUAAAUCCCAAGUAAGGUACCUGCGGUCGUCGGCAGAUCUGAAUUUUCUUCUUGGACACCUAAUACCCACAGUCCUCCAGAGACCGAGAGGUUGAUGUCACUCCCAAUAUCGGAGGAAGUAUACACCCCCGUGUGAGAUGGUCCUUAAUAAUAUUCCACGGCGGAGGGGGUGAUAUGACUACAUACAUGGCAGAAAGUGGAAACCUCCCAGGGAUAUUGUUCCCACGAUCCUGGAGGGAAGAAGAUGAUGUUACUUUCAAUAUGACAGAAGGUGGAUGAAGUGGUGGACUGCCCCUCCACACCUGUGGACACGCCCCCACUGAUAUUCCUUCUAAUUGCAGCGUGGGAGAGGAGGAUAUGACACGCGAUAUCGCAGGGAGUAGAAACACCCCUGUGAUACUGUUCUUAAUAUUCAGGGAGGAAGAGGAUGAUAUUACUCCCAAUACAGACGGGUGUACACCCUCUGUACACCGAGGGUGUACACCUGUCUGUGAAAGAGUUCGUAAUCUCCAGAGGGGGAGAUGAUAUUACUCACAAUAUGGUAAAGAGGCUGUGAGUCCACGGAGGAUCCUCAGAGCCAGCGGGGGAAGAGGGGCUGGCUCUCAGUCCCCGCCUCGCGGGGGUGACUCCCCCCAGUGCGAUGGGGGUCCUAAGAGCCAGUGGGGGAAGAGGGGCUGGCUCUGAGACCCCGCCUCGCGGGGGGUGCCUCCCCGCCCUGUGAUGGGGGUCCGAAGAGCCAGAAGGCUUAGAGGGGCUGGCUCUCAGUCCCCGCCUCGCGGGGGGUGCCUCCUCCCCCUGCGAUGGGGGUCGUAAGAGCCACUGGGGGAAUAGGGGCUUGCUCUCAGUCACCGCCUCGCGGGGGGUGCCUCCUUUCCUUUCUACAUAGACACAGUGACAGUCUGAUCUCUCUUUCUUUUCCCUACAGAUGGACACGCCCCCACUGAUAUUGUUUUUAAUGCAGCGUGGGAGGGGAGGAUAUGACACGCGAUAUCGCAGGUAGUAGAAACACCCCUUUGAUAGUGUUCUUAAUAUUCAGGGAGGAAGAAGAUGAUGUUACUCCCAAUACAGACGGAUGUACACCCUCUGUACACCGAGGGUGUACACCCGUCUGUGAAGGAGUUCGUAAUCUCCAGAGGUGGAGAUGAUAUUACUCACAAUAUGGUAAACAGGCUGUGAGUCCAUCGCGGAUCCUCAGAGCCAGGUGGGGAAGAGGGGCUGGCUGUCAGUCCCCUCCUCGCGGGGGGUGCCUCCCCCACUGCUAUGGGGAUCCCAAGAGCCAGUGGGGGAAGAGGUGCUGGCUCUCAGUCUCCGCCUCGCGAGGUGCCUCCCCACCCUGCGAUCGGGGUCCGAAGAGCCAGGGGGGAAGAGGGGCUGGCUCUCUUCGUGGAUGAUUCUUUUUCCAUUCUCAGGCAGUUUUCUUUUUUCUUUCUUUCUUUUUUUUUUUUUUUGAGACUGAGUCUUGCUCUGUUGCCCAUGCUUUGCUCGAUCUCGGGUGACUGCAACCACUGCCUCCCAGGUUCAAGAGAUUCUCCUGCCUCAGCCUCCUGAGUAGCUGGGACUAGAGGCGUGUGUCACCACACCCAGCUAAUUUUUGUAUUUUUAGUAGAGAUGGGGUUUCACCAUGUUUGCCAGGAUGGUCUCUAUCUCCUGCCCUUGUGAUCCACCCACCUCAGCCUCCCAAAGUGCUGGGAUUGCAGGUGCGAGCCACCGGGUCCAGCCUCUCAGGCGAUUUUCAUACCUGCAUACUCUGGUCACUACUCUGUUAAACAGUCAAGGAGGGUAAGUAUUAUCUUCAGAUUUCCAGAGCUCUGUCUCUGUACAGCCCUCUCCUCCUCAAUAUUCUGCCCUAUGAAUUCUAGCCACAUUGGCCUUCCCAGGCUCACAGUUCUGUCUUCUCAACUCAGGAAGAUCUCUGAGUUCCAUCUGCAUUCUUUCUUCCUGUGCUGUGGCCUGGAAAGUUUUCUAAGGUGUUAGGGAGGUCAAUUGUGGGGCUAGCCUCAUUUGUUUCUCAUCUCUUGAGGAUCACUGCCCUUUGAUGCUUGAUUCCAGUGAUUGAUUCCCUUUGUUGCUUGAGGGCCAUAGUUUCAUAUAUUUUGUCCAGUAGUUUUGUUGUUUUAGGUCAGAAAGUAAUUUUGGUCUCUGUUACUCUAUCUUGGCCAGAAGUGUAAGACCUAAGCAUUUACACAUCAAAAUACUGCACACAUAAUUUUAGUUUAAGCUACUUUUUAAAAAAUCUCCUUCAUUUUCCAUUUAGCAUUCUAUUUAGGGUAUUACAUUGGUUUUUUUGAAAUUCUGUUAUUGGCAGUUUCUAUUGCCUAUCAAUCCCAUUUAAAGAUAGUGCAUAGGGUAUUCUAAAAUAGCUGUUAAGCAAAGAGAAAAUUGGGCCUGAUAGGGUGAGAAUCACAGCUCUAAUACCUAGAGUGACCUUAUAAUGUAUUGUCCAAAGGAGAUAUUUUUGACAGUGAAAGAGGGUGUUGUUAGUAAUUAUAUCAGGACCAUGGCCUAAACCAGGACUAUCCCAGGAAGCCUGGGACAUAUUUGUACCCCAUCUCUAUUUAAUGCCUUUAUACAAUUCUUUACUUAAUUCUACCAGCCUUUAUUGAGCCUGCUUUCUUUGUCUAGCUGAGUGCCACGUGCUGACGUCACUAAGAUCAAUACAGCAAACUCUGAAAGAUGGACAGAGAGACAGGAGAUGGUCCUUUAUAAUGCAGUGUGAUCUGUGCUGCAAUAGAGUUUUGGAAGCUAGAAGUUCAAAACGAGGUGUUGGCAGCACCAUGCUCUCUCUGAAGAUGCUAGGAAGAAUCUGCUCCAUGCCUUUCCAUUCGCUUCUGGGGUUUCCUGCAAGCCCUGACAUUCCUUGGCUUGUAGAUGCAUCACCCCAGUUUCCGCCCCCAUCAUCACAUGGCCUCCUCUCUGUGUGUGCCUCUGCGUUCCCUCUAUUCUUCUUCUAAGGACACCGACACCAGUCAUAGUGGAUUAAGUGUCCACUCCUAACCAAUUACAUCUGCAACAACCCUAUUUCCAAAUAAAGUCACAUUCUAAG